AAAACAAGAAGACACGUUCAUAGACAUAUUGAAUUGACAGCACGAUUAGACAGUAAUGUUUAAUCGAAAAAAAAGAGAGAGUAAGGCUAAUCGAGAGAUUAAAGAAUACCUAGUAAACUUUGUCCAAAAAAUGCAGCUAAUUUAUUAGCUCAAAAAAUAUACGAUGAAGAGUUUGAUCCUGGCUCAGGAUGAACGCUAGCGGCAGGCCUAACACAUGCAAGUCGAGGGGUAGAGGAAGCUUGCUUCCUUGAGACCGGCGCACGGGUGCGUAACGCGUAUGCAAUCUACCUUGUACAGAGGAAUAGCCCAGAGAAAUUUGGAUUAAUGCCUCAUAGUAUAUUGGGUCGGCAUCGACCUAUUAUUAAAGAUUUAUCGGUACAAGAUGAGCAUGCGUCCCAUUAGUUAGUUGGUAAGGUAACGGCUUACCAAGACGAUGAUGGGUAGGGGUCCUGAGAGGGAGAUCCCCCACACUGGUACUGAGACACGGACCAGACUCCUACGGGAGGCAGCAGUGAGGAAUAUUGGGCAAUGGGCGCAAGCCUGACCCAGCCAUGCCGCGUGCAGGAAGACGGUCCUAUGGAUUGUAAACUGCUUUUAUACGGGAAGAAACACCCCCUCGUGAGGGGGCUUGACGGUACCGUAAGAAUAAGGAUCGGCUAACUCCGUGCCAGCAGCCGCGGUAAUACGGAGGAUCCAAGCGUUAUCCGGAAUCAUUGGGUUUAAAGGGUCCGUAGGCGGCCUUAUAAGUCAGUGGUGAAAUCUCCUAGCUCAACUAGGAAACUGCCAUUGAUACUGUAGGGCUUGAAUUAUUGUGAAGUAACUAGAAUAUGUAGUGUAGCGGUGAAAUGCUUAGAUAUUACAUGGAAUACCAAUUGCGAAGGCAGGUUACUAACAAUAUAUUGACGCUGAUGGACGAAAGCGUGGGUAGCGAACAGGAUUAGAUACCCUGGUAGUCCACGCCGUAAACGAUGGAUACUAGCUGUUGGGCGCAAGUUCAGUGGCUAAGCGAAAGUGAUAAGUAUCCCACCUGGGGAGUACGAACGCAAGUUUGAAACUCAAAGGAAUUGACGGGGGCCCGCACAAGCGGUGGAGCAUGUGGUUUAAUUCGAUGAUACGCGAGGAACCUUACCAAGGCUUAAAUGUAGAUUGACCGUUUUGGAAACAGAACUUUCGCAAGACAAUUUACAAGGUGCUGCAUGGUUGUCGUCAGCUCGUGCCGUGAGGUGUCAGGUUAAGUCCUAUAACGAGCGCAACCCCUGUUGUUAGUUGCCAGCGAGUCAUGUCGGGAACUCUAACGAGACUGCCAGUGCAAACUGUGAGGAAGGUGGGGAUGACGUCAAAUCAUCACGGCCCUUACGCCUUGGGCUACACACGUGCUACAAUGGACGGUACAGAGAGCAGCCACAACGCAAGUUGGAGCGAAUCUACAAAACCGUUCUCAGUUCGGAUCGGAGUCUGCAACUCGACUCCGUGAAGCUGGAAUCGCUAGUAAUCGGAUAUCAGCCAUGAUCCGGUGAAUACGUUCCCGGGCCUUGUACACACCGCCCGUCAAGCCAUGGAAGCUGGGGGUACCUGAAGUCGGUGACCGCAAGGAGCUGCCUAGGGUAAAACUGGUAACUGGGGCUAAGUCGUAACAAGGUAGCCGUACCGGAAGGUGCGGCUGGAACACCUCCUUUCU
rnacentral:rRNA from 1 species